CUCGCUUGUCUCAGAUUGAAUUUAGAACUUAAAUGAGUGAAUGUGUGAUUAGCAUUUAUCACUUAGUAGGUUCACAUGUCCAAAUUAUUUAUUGAAAAGAAGCUUUUGGGUGAUGUAAUUACACAUUUCACUGCCUUUGAUCUCACUUUCAGAUUUUGCUGGAAUCCCGUAAAGGCUUUCGUUUUGAUUUCAAGUUUAAUUUCAGAUAGACUCUCCUGUAAUUCAGUCCACGUUAAGGAACAUGGACUUAGAGGACAUCACACUUGA
rnacentral:lncRNA from 1 species